CCUACGGGAGGCAGCAGUGGGGAAUCUUGCGCAAUGGGCGAAAGCCUGACGCAGCCAUGCCGCGUGAAUGAUGAAGGUCUUAGGAUUGUAAAAUUCUUUCACCGAGGACGAUAAUGACGGUACUCGGAGAAGAAGCCCCGGCUAACUUCGUGCCAGCAGCCGCGGUAAUACGAAGGGGGCUAGCGUUGCUCGGAAUUACUGGGCGUAAAGGGAGCGUAGGCGGAUAGUUUAGUCAGAGGUGAAAGCCCAGGGCUCAACCUUGGAAUUGCCUUUGAUACUGGCUAUCUUGAGUACGGAAGAGGUAUGUGGAACUCCGAGUGUAGAGGUGAAAUUCGUAGAUAUUCGGAAGAACACCAGUGGCGAAGGCGACAUACUGGUCCGUUACUGACGCUGAGGCUCGAAAGCGUGGGGAGCAAACAGGAUUAGAUACCCUGGUAGUCCACGCUGUAAACGAUGAGUGCUAGUUGUCGGCAUGCAUGCAUGUCGGUGACGCAGCUAACGCAUUAAGCACUCCGCCUGGGGAGUACGGUCGCAAGAUUAAAAACUCAAAAGGAAUUGACGG
rnacentral:rRNA from 1 species